rnacentral:rRNA from 1 species
UACAGAGGUCUCAAGCGUUGUUCGGAUUCAUUGGGCGUAAAGGGCGCGUAGGCGGCGUGUUAAGUCAGCUGUGAAAUCUCCAAGCUUAACUUGGAACGGUCAGCUGAUACUGAUGUGCUAGAGUGCAGAAGGGGCAAUCGGAAUUCUUGGUGUAGCGGUGAAAUGCGCAGAUAUCAGGAGGAACACCGGUGGCGAAGGCGGGUCUCUGGGCAGUAACUGACGCUGAGGAGCGAAAGCGUGGGGAGCGAACAGG